GGAAUAUUGAACGGGAGCCCAAGGAAUUGGGCUGAGAGGGUGGUUAACGUUACCGCCGACCGAACCUGAUCUGGGUAAUGCCAGCGGAGGGAAGACUGGGCUAAAAAGC
rfam:Peptococcaceae bacterium CEB3 CEB3_contig000064, whole genome shotgun sequence.